GAGUGUGUUGCCCGCAAGUGCGAGUCAGAGCAGAGCUUCACCAGCUGCAUCCCAUCUCUGUAAUCAAGCCUCUUCAAAUACUCAGCUCUGCCACUGCCACCCUGCCAGAUUGUAGUCUUUGCCACAGUCAGUAAUUCUGCCUGCUUUCUGACUGUGGCCCCAGUCUUCCCAUCUCGCCUGCCCAUGUCUGUUGCUCUGCCUCUUCCUGGCUGUUCCCCACUGGACUCCUCUGCUAAUAUUUCCCCAGACUUCCCUCUGGAUCAGCUCCCUCUGCCCAUAACUGCCCAGCCCUUACCUCAGCCCCCGACUCGAAGUUACCAGCUCUAACUGCCUGUGACCUUGCAAUAAGCAUCUUUAACUGCUUCCAAAUCUCUCUGUCUGUGUCUGCAUUUGGGUUCACCUGCUCAGCUGCCUUUAAGAUCAGUGGUUCAUGUAAGAAAAGUAUUUGAAACAGACUUCAUGUUUUGUUGUGCUAAGACUCUAAAUGUUCCCAUGAGUGAAAACUGUGACUGAACAUAAACCUUUUUCACAAACUUU